UGGGCGUCGAGCGGCGGACGGGUGAGUAAUGCCUAGGAAAUUGCCUUGAUGUGGGGGAUAACCAUUGGAAACGAUGGCUAAUACCGCAUAAUGCCUACGGGCCAAAGAGGGGGAUCUUCGGACCUCUCGCGUCAAGAUAUGCCUAGGUGGGAUUAGCUAGUUGGUGAGGUAAUGGCUCACCAAGGCGACGAUCCCUAGCUGGUCUGAGAGGAUGAUCAGCCACACUGGAACUGAGACACGGUCCAGACUCCUACGGGAGGCAGCAGUGGGGAAUAUUGCACAAUGGGCGAAAGCCUGAUGCAGCCAUGCCGCGUGUAUGAAGAAGGCCUUCGGGUUGUAAAGUACUUUCAGUUGUGAGGAAGGGGGUNACGUUAAUAGCGNUAUCUCUUGACGUUAGCAACAGAAGAAGCACCGGCUAACUCCGUGCCAGCAGCCGCGGUAAUACGGAGGGUGCGAGCGUUAAUCGGAAUUACUGGGCGUAAAGCGCAUGCAGGUGGUUCAUUAAGUCAGAUGUGAAAGCCCGGGGCUCAACCUCGGAACUGCAUUUGAAACUGGUGAACUAGAGUGCUGUAGAGGGGGGUAGAAUUUCAGGUGUAGCGUGAAAUGCGUAGAGAUCUGA
rnacentral:rRNA from 1 species